UACGUAGGGUGCAAGCGUUGCCCCGGAUUUAUUGGGCGUAAAGGGCGCGCAGGCGGCCCAGUAAGUCCGUUGUAAAAGUCAAAGGCUCAACCUUUGAAAGCCGAUGGAUACUGCUGGGCUAGAGUCCGGAAGAGGCGAGUGGAAUUCCUGGUGUAGCGGUGGAAUGCGCAGAUAUCAGGAGGAACACCGAUAGCGAAGGCAGCUCGCUGGGACGGUACUGACGCUGAGGCGCGAAAGCGUGGGGAGCGAACAGG
rnacentral:rRNA from 1 species